rnacentral:rRNA from 1 species
CAAAGGAGCAAUCCGCUGAUAGAUGGGCUCGCGUCCGAUUAGGUAGUUGGUGAGGUAACGGCUCACCAAGCCGACGAUCGGUAGCCGGACUGAGAGGUUGAACGGCCACAUUGGGACUGAGACACGGCCCAGACUCCUACGGGAGGCAGCAGUGGGGGAUAUUGCACAAUGGGGGGAACCCUGAUGCAGCGACGCCGCGUGAGGGAAGAAGGUUUUCGGAUUGUAAACCUCUGUUCUUGGUGACGAAGAUGACGGUAGCCAAGGAGGAAGCCACGGCUAACUACGUGCCAGCAGCCGCGGUAAUACGUAGGUGGCAAGCGUUGUCCGGAAUUACUGGGUGUAAAGGGAGCGUAGGCGGGAAGAUAAGUUGGACGUUUAAACUAUCGGCUCAACCGGUAGUCGCGUUCAAAACUGUUUUUCUUGAGUGAAGUAGAGGUAAGCGGAAUUCCUAGUGUAGCGGUGAAAUGCGUAAAUAUUAGGAGGAACACCAGUGGCGAAGGCGGCUUACUGGGCUUUAACUGACGCUGAGGCUCGAAAGCGUGGGUAGCAAACAGGAUUAGAUACCCUGGUAGUCCACGCCGUAAACGAUGAUUACUAGGUGUGGGGGGAUUGACCCCUUCCGUGCCGCAGU